rnacentral:rRNA from 1 species
UACGAAGGGGGGCUAGCGUUGUUCGGAAUUACUGGGCGUAAAGCGCGCGCAGGCGGUCUUCCAAGUCAGUGGUGAAAGCCCGGAGCUCAACUCCGGAACUGCCAUUGAAACUGUUAGACUUGAGGACGAGAGAGGUGAGUGGAAUUCCCAGUGUAGAGGUGAAAUUCGUAGAUAUUCGCAAGAACACCAGUGGCGAAGGCGGCUCACUGGCCCGGAACUGACGCUGAGACGUGAAAGCGUGGGGAGCAAACAGGGAUU